GGAGCGUAAGGGUGGCAAGGCGCCCGAGAGUCAGGGCUGGAGCUGAAGGUGGGUGACAGGGAGGGGGCGCCCAGGUGUCAGGACCUGAGGAGAAAGAGUGCGCGUAGCGGGAGGGCCCCGAAGUGUCGGGGCGGGAUCCUGGAAGGAGGGAGAACGUGAGGAGGGAGGAAGGGUCCCUGGGGUGUCAGGGAUGGGGGCCAGGAAAGGGGCAGAGAGCUGGAGGCCCACAAGUGGGGAUAGCGGGGGAGGGAGGUUGGAGCGAGUGGGGAACGCAGGUGGUGUCGAGGGCGGGGACAGGGCGAGGGGAGCGGGGCGUGAGGAAGUUGUGGGAAACCGCGCUGGACGCUGAGAAUGUGCGGAAGGAUCCUGAGGGGAGGACGCGAGACAGCGCGAGGAGAGACGAGGAGAGUUAGGGUUGGCCGGGAGGGUGCGAAGAUGAAGCGACCACUGGAGGCUGUGAGGGUGAAAGGAGCAAGAAUCGUCUAGAGACGGGCUGGGCCGGUGCUGGGGCCAAAGGCUUCUGUCUGUCAGGCCCUUUUUGGCGCUCACUCUAGAAAGAAGAGGCGGAGACGCGAAGAGAUCGGGUUAGAGUCAGAUUUUCGAAGCACGGAGAUGGGUUCAAUGAAAGGACGAGGAAAGACGAGAAACCAGCGGCCGGAGAACGGAGAGUUCAACAAUUUUUAUGAAUUUCUAAUCCAACCUCAUCAUCCUAUGGGAAACAGAAGACCACCAAGAACAGCCAGCUGAGACAGAAUUUCACUGUGUUGCCCAAGCCAAUCUUAAACUCCUGGUCUCAAGCGAUCCUCCUGCCUUGGCCUCCCACUGUGCCUGGCCUAUGGACUCUGAAUUUUUUUAAAAGACUGGAAAAAACUUUUAUAAGAGAAUUGGAAAUUUGGACAAUGGAAUCUCAUUCUGUCACCAGGCUGAAGUGCAGUGACGUGAUCUUGGCUCACUGCAACCUCCACCUCCUGGGUUCAAGCGAUUCUCCUGCCUCAGCCUCCUGAGUAGCUGGGAUUACAGGUAUCUUGGCAGUAACCUCCUCCAUAUAUUUCCUUGGCCCUCAGCUUACAUCUAGCAAAAUGACUCUACUGGUUCCAGGCUUCACAUGCAUACAACAUGGUGUUGGAGGAACAGAGAUGUUUUCUCUUCCUGGUGUUUUCCCAGACAUUUCUUAGCUGGCAUUUCAAACAAGGGUCCUGAAAUUCACCCUGGUUGGGUCGUGUUCUCCCCUUCCCAUUCCCCAUCCCCACCCUCAACCGAAAAAUGAUGUAAGCAGGGGAAAUUGAAUGUACCAAUGUUUGUUUUUAAACAAGCCACAGACCCCUCCCCAACUCCCCGACUGAAGCUUGAAGUGGGAUCAGCUUUCCCUAAAGUACUUGAGCUUAUGGUAAAGCAUAUAUGUUAUCCAAGUUAAAGUCUGGACGCUGUUAGUAAUGGGAAGGCAAGUAAUGAAUGUUAGCUAUGGAGCCAACAGACAGUGUCCACUCCAUUGUCUUUAAGGCCCAACUAAAGAUAACCUCUUUACCAAUGUCGGUUUAUUUAUUCAUUUAUUUAUUCAUUGAGAUGGAGUCUCACUCUCUCACCCAAGCUGGAGUGCAGUGGAAUGAUCUCAGCUGACUGCAAUUUCUGCCUCCCAGGUUCAAGCAAUCUCCUGCUUCAGCCUCCCAAGUAGCUGGGAUUACAGGCGCACACCACCAUGCCCGGCUAAUUUUUGUAUUUUUAGUAGAGAUAGGGUUUCACCAUGUUGGCCAAGCUGGUCUCGGACACCUGACCUCAAGUGAUCUGCCUGCCUCGGCCCCCAAAGGUGUGAGCCACUGCACCUGGCUACAAUGUCAGUUUCUAUAAAAACUGCCUUGACUUGUUUUGUUUGCUUGUUUUGUUUGUUUGUGUUUUAAUUUUUAUUAUUUUUUUUUAGAGACAGGGUCUCAAUCUGUUGUCUAGGCUUGAGUGCAGUGGUGCAAUCAUAGCUCACUGAAGUGUUGGACUCCCAGGCUCAAGCAGUCCUCCCACCUCAGCCUCCCAAGUAGCUGAGACUACAGGCAUGCACCACCCUGUCUGGCUAAUUUUUUAUUUUUAGUAGAGAUGAGGUCUCACUAUGUUGCCCAAGGUGGCCUCAAACUCCUGGCCUCAAGUACUCCUGUGGCCUUAGCCUCCCAAAGCUCUGGGAUUGCAGGUAUGAGCCGCCAUGCCUGGCCUACUGUAUAUUUUAUGCAUUUGAUAUAAGUCUUGCCUCCCUAAGUAUAUUACAAGUCCCUUGAAGUUAAAGACAUUAGAUUCCUACUCAGUGCUGAGCUGCAACAGAGAGCACUCAAUGAUGGAUAAAAUAGUUUUAGCAUGCAUUCAGCGAUAUAUAUUUAGAAAGUGGAACUAGGUGGUUGAAAAAAGUGUAUAGAUGGGUGGAAGGGAAUAUUACAGCUCUUAGAAUUGUCCUAAGGUGAGAGUAACAAAUUAAGCAAUGAGUCCCUGGGUUCACUCAAGCAACUUCACUCUCUAAAACAAGAGCCCACAGAAUCCCAUUUCUGCUUUCAGAAUGAGUUUGAGGCCAAUAUUAUUUCCAUUUUUUUUCUUUUUCUUUCUUUCUUUUUUUUUUUUUUUUUUUUGAGACGGAGUUUCACUCUUGUUGCCCAGGCUGUUUUGAUCUCGGCUCACUGCAACCUCUGCCCCUGGGUUCAAGCGAUUCUCCUGUCUCAACCUCCCAAGCUGGGAUUACAAGCAUGCGCUACCACACCUGGCUAAUUUUGUAUUUUUAAUAGAGACGGGGUUUCUCUGUGUUGGUCAGGCUGGUCUCAAACUCCCAACCUCAGGUGAUCUGCCCACCUUGGCCCAGCCUCCAAUAUGAUUUUCUAAUAGCUGUGUUUGAUGAUUAUAUUUAUUCCUCCAUCAGUAGCUUUUUUAGCCUUGAAAAUAUCUAUUUAAGUUUCUUAUUUCCUUUGGAUCUAUCAAAGUGUUUUUCCCCAAGUGGCACCUGGGAAAACAUAUUCUAUUCAUUUAUUUUAUAACUGUUCCCUUGACCUCUUUAUUGCUUCCCUAUUACAACCCAAGAUGCUCUUGUAAACCUGACUUAAUAUUGGCAGUCUUCAUCCCUUGCAAAUGGAAGUGAUGACAGACCCAAUACUUUGUGUAAAAAUAUUUUGCUAUUUCUAUACAAAAUAUUUUAUUAAUGGAAACCACAUGUUAUGUAUUUUACAUAUGUUAUGACUUGAAAUUUAUGUUAUGACUUGAAAUUGGGGAAUCUGAUAUGUCUCUAAUAAUAAAGGCUUCACAGUA
rnacentral:lncRNA from 1 species